rnacentral:rRNA from 1 species
GACGAACGCUGGCGGCGUGCUUAACACAUGCAAGUCGAACGGAAAGGCCCUGCUUUUGUGGGUUGCUCGAGUGGCGAACGGGUGAGUAACACGUGAGUAACCUGCCCUUGACUUUGGGAUAACUUCAGGAAACUGGGUCUAAUACCGGAUAGGAGCUUCUGCUGCAUGGUGGGGGUUGGAAAGUUUCGGCGGUUGGGGAUGGACUCGCGGCUUAUCAGCUUGUUGGUGGGGUAGUGGCUUACCAAGGCUUUGAGGGGUAGCCGGCCUGAGAGGGUGACCGGCCACAUUGGGACUGAGAUACGGCCCAGAAUCCUACGGGAGGCAGCAGGGGGGAAUAUUGCAAAAUGGGCGGAAGCCUGAUGCAGAAACGCCGCGUGCGGGAUGACGGCCUUCGGGGUGUAAACCGAUUUCGACGGUGACGAAGAGUGAGUGACGGUAAUGGGUAAAGAAGCACCGGCUAACUACGUG